rnacentral:rRNA from 1 species
AUUGAACGCUGGCGGCAGGCCUAACACAUGCAAGUCGAGCGGCAGCGGGAAAGUAGCUUGCUACUUUUGCCGGCGAGCGGCGGACGGGUGAGUAAUGCCUGGGAAAUUGCCCAGUCGAGGGGGAUAACAGUUGGAAACGACUGCUAAUACCGCAUACGCCCUACGGGGGAAAGCAGGGGACCUUCGGGCCUUGCGCGAUUGGAUAUGCCCAGGUGGGAUUAGCUAGUUGGUGAGGUAAUGGCUCACCAAGGCGACGAUCCCUAGCUGGUCUGAGGGGAUGAUCAGCCACACUGGAACUGAGACACGGUCCAGACUCCUACGGGGGGCAGCAGUGGGGAAUAUUGCACAAUGGGGGAAACCCUGAUGCAGCCAUGCCGCGUGUGUGAAGAAGGCCUUCGGGUUGUAAAGCACUUUCAGCGAGGAGGAAAGGUUGAUGCCUAAUACGUAUCAACUGUGACGUUACUCGCAGAAGAAGCACCGGCUAACUCCGUGCCAGCCGCCGCUGUAA